rnacentral:misc_RNA from 1 species
GUCCUGGACAGAUUUGACAGAGACUUUUUUUUUCUGACUUUGCCAUUGAGAUCAUAUAUAUUUCAAACAGUUCUGAAGUUGUAAAAACCCUGAGAGCUUGGGAGCUCUGCUGGCACAAGUCCUCAAAUGAAAAUCAGGAGCCCAAUCAGGCAAGUGCUUCUUGCUAUCAAACAAAGACUACUUGAUUUCCACACCUCUAUUGUCAACUGAGUGUAAGGCGCUGAUCCAGCCAUGGUUGAAAAAAUUGCC